rnacentral:rRNA from 1 species
GGGAAGCGAACCCGGCGAACUGAAACAUCUAAGUAGCCGGAGGAAAGGACAUCAACCGAGACUCCGCUAGUAGUGGCGAGCGAACGCGGACCAGGCCAGUCAUUCGAUCUACAUAACCGGAACCGUCUGGAAAGUCGGACCACAGUGGGUGAUAGUCCCGUAUGGAUAAACCGGAUCGAAUGCUCGAGUAGGGCGGGGCACGUGAAACCCUGUCUGAACAUGGGGGGACCACCCUCCAAGCCUAAGUACUCCUCAGUGACCGAUAGUGCACCAGUACCGUGAGGGAAAGGUGAAAAGCACCCCGACAAGGGGAGUGAAACAGUUCCUGAAACCGGAUGCCUACAAGCAGUCGGAGCCUCUUCAUGGGGUGACGGCGUACCUUUUGUAUAAUGGGUCAGCGACUUAGAGUAUGCAGCGAGCUUAAGCCGGUAGGUGGAGGCGCAGCGAAAGCGAGUCUGAAUAGGGCGACCGAGUUGCAUGCUUUAGACCCGAAACCUGAUGAUCUAGCCAUGGGCAGGUUGAAGGUGCGGUAACACGCACUGGAGGACCGAACUCACGCCUGUUGAAAAAGUCGGAGAUGACCUGUGGCUAGGGGUGAAAGGCCAAUCAAAUCAGGAAAUAGCUGGUUCUCCGCGAAAGCUAUUUAGGUAGCGCGUCGGAUAUCACCUGCGGGGGUAGAGCACUGGAUGGGCUAGGGGGGCGCGAGCCUUACCAAACCUAACCAAACUCCGAAUACCGCAGAGUGCAGUCCGGCAGACAGACGGUGGGUGCUAAGGUCCAUCGUCGAGAGGGAAACAGCCCAGACCGCCAGCUAAGGUCCCCAAAUCACGGCUAAGUGGGAAAGGAUGUGGGAAGGCCAUGACAACCAGGAGGUUGGCUUAGAAGCAGCCAUCCUUUAAAGAAAGCGUAAUAGCUCACUGGUCUAGUUAAGCCGGCCUGCGCCGAAAAUGUAUCGGGGCUCAAGCCGUGUACCGAAGCUGCGGAUGUGAUCUUUGAUCACGUGGUAGCGGAGCGUUCCGUAAGCCUGCGAAGGGUGUCCGUGAGGCCGCCUGGAGGUAUCGGAAGUGAGAAUGCUGACAUGAGUAGCGACAAACAGUGUGAGAAACACUGUCGCCGAAAGUCCAAGGGUUCCUGCGCAAGGUUAAUCCACGCAGGGUGAGCCGGCCCCUAAGGCGAGGCCGAAAGGCGUAGUCGAUGGGAACCACGUUAAUAGUCGUGGGCCUGGCGGAGGUGACGGAU